AGGCUGCAACUCGCCUGCACGAAGUCGGAAUUGCUAGUAAUCGUAGGUCAGCAUACUACGGUGAAUACGUUCCCGGGCCUUGUACACACCGCCCGUCAAACCAUGAGAGUUGGCAACACCCGAAGUCGGUAGUCUAACCGCAAGGAGGACGCCGCCGAAGGGUGGGGGUUGAUGAUUAGGGUUAAGUCGUAACAAGGUACC
rnacentral:rRNA from 1 species